rnacentral:rRNA from 1 species
GUAGGGGGCGAGCGUUGUCCGGAUUUAUUGGGCGUAAAGAGCGCGUAGGCGGCCCGGAAAGUCGGUUGUGAAAACCCGAGGCUCAACCUCGGGCCUGCAUCCGAUACUACCGGGCUAGAGGCAGGUAGGGGAGAGUGGAAUUCCCGGUGUAGCGGUGAAAUGCGCAGAUAUCGGGAGGAACACCGGUGGCGAAGGCGGCUCUCUGGGCCUGUCCUGACGCUCAGGCGCGAAAGCUAGGGGAGCAAACAGGAUUAGAUACCCUGGUAGUCCUAGCCGUAAACGUUGGGUGCUAGGUGUGGGGUGGCGAUUGACCCGCCCUGUGCCGAAGCUAACGCAUUAAGCACCCCGCCUGGGGAGUACGGCCGCAAGGCUA